UACGUAGGGUGCAAGCGUUAAUCGGAAUUACUGGGCGUAAAGCGUGCGCAGGCGGUUUUGUAAGUCAGAUGUGAAAUCCCCCGGGCUUAACCUGGGAACUGCGUUUGAAACUACAAGGCUAGAGUGUGGCAGAGGGGGGCGGAAUUCCACGUGUAGCAGUGAAAUGCGUAGAGAUGUGGAGGAACACCGAUGGCGAAGGCAGCCCCCUGGGUUAACACUGACGCUCAGGCACGAAAGCGUGGGGAGCAAACAGG
rnacentral:rRNA from 1 species